UGCGCUUCAAUUCAAAUUAUGUAGCUAGGCAUGCACCUGCUUGUUAGUCAUUAGGGGAUUGAUUAGAAAUACCUUAAAUUGCAGUUUCGCUUCAGCGACUGUUGUUUACACACUUCUCUGAUCAUCAUGAAAGCUAGCCUUAAAAGCAAGCGUUCCACGACACCCAGAACUUCCAUAUCAAGAACAAGAGGACACGCUGCGUUUAUGUACACAGUCCGACAACAGGUCAAUCAGACGGCAGUGGGGCGCGUUCACGAGUCCACGGGCGUAAGCAGAUAUUUGCUGCAGAGAGUGGGGUCAGAGGCCGCGCGCCUCUCGUGUUUCAGCCGCCACAGAGCCGUCACGCGCAGGGAGAUCCUGGAGGCCUGGGAUCAGCUGAGACGCCGCAGAAACUCCGCUGCACUGGCAGGCGCUUGAGUCUUUUUAACAGACGCUUUUAAUCGAUCUCUUUUAAUGUAUCUGUAAAUAUUUAACUGUUGAAAUAAAAGCCUUUUGUUUAAAA